rnacentral:siRNA from 1 species
CCAUCUCGUUCGUCUUCUACUA